rnacentral:rRNA from 1 species
AUUGAACGCUGGCGGCAUGCCUUACACAUGCAAGUCGAACGGCAGCAUAGGAGCUUGCUCCUGAUGGCGAGUGGCGAACGGGUGAGUAAUAUAUCGGAACGUGCCCUAGAGUGGGGGAUAACUAGUCGAAAGAUUAGCUAAUACCGCAUACGAUCUACGGAUGAAAGUGGGGGAUCGCAAGACCUCAUGCUCCUGGAGCGGCCGAUAUCUGAUUAGCUAGUUGGUGGGGUAAAAGCCUACCAAGGCGACGAAGAGUAGCUGGUCUGAGAGGACGGCAAGCCACACUGGGACUGAGACGAGGCCCAGACUCCUACGGGAGGCAGGAGUGGGGAAUUUUGGACAAUGGGGGCAACCCUGAUCCAGCAAUGCCGCGUGAGUGAAGAAGGCCUUCGGGUUGUAAAGCUCUUUUGUCAGGGAAGAAACGGUUCUGGAUAAUACCCAGAGCUAAUGACGGUACCUGAAGAAUAAGCACCGGCUAACUACGUGCCAGCCGCCGCCGUAA